UACGAAGGGGGCUAGCGUUGCUCGGAAUCACUGGGCGUAAAGCGCACGUAGGCGGAUUGCUAAGUCAGGGGUGAAAUCCUGGAGCUCAACUCCAGAACUGCCUUUGAUACUGGCAGGCUUGAAUCCGGGAGAGGGAUGUGGAAUUCCAGGUGUAGCGGUGAAAUGCGUAGAUAUCUGGAGGAACACCGGUGGCGAAGGCGGCAUCCUGGACCGGUAUUGACGCUGAGGCGCGAAAGCCAGGGGAGCAAACGGG
rnacentral:rRNA from 1 species